UGGGGAAUAUUGGACAAUGGGCGAAAGCCUGAUCCAGCCAUGCCGCGUGAGUGAUGAAGGCCCUAGGGUUGUAAAGCUCUUUUGUGCGGGAAGAUAAUGACGGUACCGCAAGAAUAAGCCCCGGCUAACUUCGUGCCAGCAGCCGCGGUAAUACGAAGGGGGCUAGCGUUGCUCGGAAUCACUGGGCGUAAAGGGUGCGUAGGCGGGUUUCUAAGUCAGAGGUGAAAGCCUGGAGCUCAACUCCAGAACUGCCUUUGAUACUGGAAGUCUUGAGUUCGGGAGAGGGGAGUGGAACUGCGAGUGUAGAGGUGAAAUUCGUAGAUAUUCGCAAGAACACCAGUGGCGAAGGCGGCUCACUGGCCCGAUACUGACGCUGAGGCACGAAAGCGUGGGGAGCAAACA
rnacentral:rRNA from 1 species